rnacentral:lncRNA from 1 species
UAGGUCCCAAACUGGACCUUGUUAAUGAUAUGGGUGGUGUUAUUCCAACAGAUAUCAUUCCACAAAACACAUGCACUUCCAGAAACUAUGCAACAGUAGCCUCUCAAAUAGCUUUAGUCUCAGUAUGUGAGUCUCCAUGGCAAGGCGUAGGGCCUAUGUCUUAAGCAAUAAUUUUGGUCAGAUAAUUGCAAUGUUCCCUUUCUUCCAGACUGGUCACAUACAGGUAUUGCAUAAAACUUCAGCCAGAGGCAUCAUCCAUUCCAAGGAGGAUCCUUUGAACAGAGUCUGCUCCUGCUAGUAGGCUUUACAUGAGCUCCUAUGAACCUGAUGGCUGGAAGACCAGCUGGCUCCAUCUGGUGUAGAUGGUCCCAGAGCCAGAGAGAAGCUGUGGUGCAGUGCUAACUGCAUUGCAAGCCCUGUGAUGAUGGACAGUGAGCCAGGAGCUAGUGCCAACUGAUGCCUAGUAGCUGACCUUGUGGCUUGCUGAACAUUCCUGGAUUUAUCUGGAGAAGAAUCAUGAUCAGAUUCCCAGUGGUGAAGAGUAUGCCUUCAUUCAACAAUUUAGCUUCCCAAGAAAAAUACACCUGCAGCUAUGAGGAGCCUUGCUCGAGCAUGCAAGCCUUCUGUUUCAUGAACAACAUUAGAGGGCACUUCUGCAUUGUGGUCGGCUUAAGCCAAAGAAAGGCAGAAGCCUGACCUUACCAGCUGAAUUGUUCUUGAAUUCAGAGGCAACGUGAAAUCUGUUUCAGCUUCACCCAGAUUAAGAACUUAUUCUGUAGACAACCUCUUUGAUCUCAUUAAAGCUGCUGCUGGACCUGCUGUGAGGGAAGCUGGGGACUCAUUCUUUAUGAGGAGGUGAGUGGCCAGGGCAGUGAGGCUGAGAUGUGGGCUCCCCUCCUGCCCCACAUUCCCAUGUUCCUGCAUCCAAGAAACCCUGUCCCUGUGAGCUCCCACAUGGUUCUAGGGGUGCUGAAUCAGAGGCAGCUGUGAGAGCUGUAUUGCAGGAUGCAACAGGCAUUACAGUUUUGACAGCUUUACUUUUUUUUUUUUUUUUUUUAAUUUAUUUUUUUAGUCUUUCUGCAUGUGAUGCUCUUGUAUCUUCUGUUGACAAAGGCACGUGAUUAGUUUAUAAUCUCUGUUUUCACUGAAAGAAAAACAAACAGCUUUCUAACCUGUGUAAUUGUAGACAAAAGCUUGAAAAGGAGAUUCGAAAAGCUUCAAUAUCAGAAGGUCAUUGGGAGGUAAAGUAAAAUCUCAAGGUUUAUUUGUUUAUUUAUUUUAUAAAUGCCAUAAUUUUUGAACUAGUUUCUUUAUUUUAAGGGUGCUGACUCACAUUUUAAGAAGGUUUCAGGUUAGCAGUGCAGACAUAAGCAAACAAAAAUCAUCAAUGUCAUUAAAUAGCUCUACUUUAUCCAAAAUCCUCUAAGCAGCCAUUUUAAUAUGUGCUUUUCUUCAAUGAAAUGAUCUCUUCAAAAGACACACAACAUUAUCAGCGCAUGCAGAGAGAGCUCAUUGGGCUUAUUUUCCUGUUUACUGUUCUCCAAGGCCUGGCCUAUGAAGUUGAUCUUCUGAACCCAGACUCGCUGAAAUUUGAUUACAAUUUAUCCUAAGCCUCUCCCCAUUAUGAGGUAGAAUUUCACAAUAUGCCUCAAGAGCAAUCUUCAAAGUCUGCUAUUUUAGAGACUAUCCAGACAAA